rnacentral:sRNA from 1 species
CUGGCUCUUCGCACGAUAGUCGGAGCAGG